AGAUUCCUACGGGGGGCAGCAGUGAGGAAUAUUGGUCAAUGGCCGCAGGGCUGAACCAGCCAAGUCGCGUGAGGGAAGACUGCCCUAUGGGUUGUAAACCUCUUUUGUCAGGGAGCAACGCCGGCUACGUGUAGCCGGACUGAGAGUACCUGAAGAAAAAGCAUCGGCUAACUCCGUGCCAGCAGCCGCGGUAAUACGGAGGAUGCGAGCGUUAUCCGGAUUUAUUGGGUUUAAAGGGUGCGUAGGCGGAAUGCCAAGUCAGCGGUAAAAUCGCGGGGCUCAACCUCGCUCCGCCGUUGACACUG
rnacentral:rRNA from 1 species